GACGAACGCUGGCGGCGUGCUUAACACAUGCAAGUCGAACGGAAAGGCCCUUCGGGGUACUCGAGUGGCGAACGGGUGAGUAACACGUGGGUGAUCUGCCCUGCACUUUGGGAUAAGCCUGGGAAACUGGGACUAAUACCGAAUAGGACCACGCGCUCCAUGUUGUGUGGUGGAAAGCUUUGGCGGUGUGGGAUGGGCACGCGGCCUAUCAGCUUGUUGGUGGGGUAAUGGCCUACCAAGGCGACGACGGGUAGCCGGCCUGAGAGGGUGACCGGCCACACUGGGACUGAGAUACGGCCCAGACUCCUACGGGAGGCAGCAGUGGGGAAUAUUGCACAAUGGGCGCAAGCCUGAUGCAGCGACGCCGCGUGAGGGAUGACGGCCUUCGGGUUGUAAACCUCUUUCAAUAGGGACGAAGCGCAAGUGACGGUACCUAUAGAAGAAGCACCGGCCAACUACGUG
rnacentral:rRNA from 1 species